rnacentral:lncRNA from 1 species
GCUUCUUCCUCUUCAGGUCGUGCAGCUAAACAACGUACCAGCUUCAUCUGGUUGCAGAUCUAUCAACAGCGACUGCUGUCGUCGAACAAAACUGCCUUGGUUUCUCCUUCAAGUGGUCGAGGUUGAUUUGCUACACAGGUUCAGCUACAAUCUUUUAACUUCUUUUGGGGUUGUGUUUUAUGGCUCUCUCUCACUAAUUGAUCUGACUU